UCCUGUCUCUGACAAAGCAUACAAAGCCUUACAUUGAUGGUAACUGCUGACUGCUGGAUGGCUUCUUAUAGAGGGCAGAAUGGAGAUUCGUGCAAUGUGUAAAAACUUGGCAUCUCCUCAAGCUUCUUUCCUUACGUGGGUUGCUCAACUUCUUCAGGUAAAGAAAAAAAAGACUAAAAACUUUUUUGUUAAACUUUCAGGAAAAGGUCAACAAAUCAUAUCAAAGUCAUAGUUGUGGGCAAAAGAUAGGAGAAGAUUUCAGAGUUUGUUGAGUUAAAGAAACAUUUCAAAAUAUUAAUAAUGAACAACAGCUGAAAACAAUGAGUGUAAUUGUGGGAAGAAUAUUUCCAUUUCAGGUAACCAAUUUUAGGCCUCUUACCCACCCAAUCUCUCAUGAGCCCUUCUACAGCCCAUAGCAAAAGAGCAGAAGACAAAUUGCUUCAGGAGAAUAUCAAGAAUGAAUCUGCAUUAGUAGCUCAGCACAGGAGUGCAGUUUAGAUUGCAACCAUGUACUCUCCCCUGCUCCAAAUUGUGAGGUCUCUGAACAUGAAUGAGAUUUGGUUGAAACAUACUCCAGCCACUACUGGCAGUCAGUUUACAAGAGCAGACGAGCUAAACUGAAGUAAAGAGUCUCAGGAUGAGGCUCCCACACAAUGGAGAAUUCCUUCCUCCUCUAAUUAAAUUGACGAGUUGACUGUGGCUUAAAAGCAUUAACUCAAUGUGAGGUCACAGAAUUAUUUUAGCUGUGGAUCAGUUGCUUAAUAGCAGUUUUCUCAGAGUCAUGUCAUCGUGCAUGCUGUAAGGCUCAAGUUACUUUUACUUGUGGAUAAUGAAUGAAGAAAGAAAAGGUUACAAGACAUUUCAAGUAUAAAUCCAUUUUAAUUAAUACCCCAAAACAUUUCUUCAGCAUGUUCAGACUGUCCAUGUGUGGUGUGUUUCAUAUGUA